UCAAAGGUCGGUGGUGCUUGUCGAAGCUUCGCUAUGAAGAUUCCUGUCGCUCUACUCGCACUCGUCACUAUUACUGUGAUUCUUGUAGUUGUUGGAGCAACUGAGCAGAAUAAUAACGACUCGUCUUCGUCAAAUGAAGACGAGCAUUUUCUUGGAAACCGUACGGAGAAUGAAAACGAGCAUACUCCACUCGACAGAGUCC